CAUGAUUUAACCUUUUAAGUACACGCGGCCCGAGGACGGGACGGUUCAUGUUUUCACUGCAAUAUCUCCGUCUGGGCGCAGCCAUUUUGUGCUCUUUGUUGACAACCUACACCUCGUUGGAAAGCCACUUCCCUACUCUAUUGAUUGACAGCUCGUUUGACCAUACAAAAGGAUCGAGGGCCUGUCCCUAGCCAAAAGAAUCCAAUGAGCGACUAUAUCGAGCGAAGCACCUCCCCCCACUCUUACGCUUGUAUUUUCAGCCCAUUAUAUUUGACGCUGAAUCUGAUGCAAUGGACGUAUAGCCAAUAAGAUUUCCGUCACGGGGAUGUCCCACAUGAAGGGGUUGUGGAAGGAGGGUGGGCUACAGGCCUAAGCGUAAACAUGAACAAUGGAUGCCGGCUGUCCAUGCGUAAAUGCGUAAUAGUGAGAGUGAGCGUAUAUCUCCAUUCCAGUGGUAUUUCCAGUGACCAGAGAGAUGGCGAAACGCAUGGAAAAGAAGAAUUACACUGUUGAAGAAGUUAUUGAAGAGUGUACGAGACGGGAAAGCGACUUUUCUGACGAGGAUGUGUCGGAUGCGCAAAGUUAUGUGUCGUCUGUUGACUCGGUGGAGGAGGACAUGUUCAUUGAAGGAGAAGAUAUUGUCCAUGACAAGCAAACUGAUUCAGAUACAGAGUGGGAGCCAAGCACCAGAGCCAGAGCAGCCUCCUACUCCCAGUGUACAACAUCACAAGCCAGUCUACAUCUCUGGUGACAGUAAGACACCCAUCAAGCUUUCUAGCUGUGCUUUGUAGCAGCCCGUGACUGUAACAGUGGCAUACUGAGAACAACAUGUGGCUGUGAAACCUGUGGAAUUGUAAACAUGUAAACAGUUUGCUGUAAGUAGUUUGGGUAUUUGUUUAGAUAAAGGUGUUGUUUUUGACCAUAUCUCUUGUUCUGAGUCUUUUCUUGUGAUGCACAAUUUCAGUUUCAGUAGAAUAAUGAGCAUUCAAUGUGUUUUUGCUUCACUAACAUUAUUUCAAUCAUACUAAUAGUGAAUCUGAAUAUGGAAUGAGGUUCCUCUAAGUGGCACCUUUCAUUAGAGCUCUCAUUGAUGUCUGUAUGUUGAAGCAUUCCAGAGUUAUGCACUUUGGUGCCAAAGUGUCCAUUUGGAGACUCCAAAUGGCACUUUUUGGAGAGCGCCUGGGAAUACCUACAGAAAAACCUGUCCCAAAUGGUCAUUUCUUGUCCAAUUACUAUCUACUUUUAACUGGGAAUAGGUAAGACUUCAGCCUGUGUCACUAUAUUGUCAUCUAAUCAACAUCACCAUGCUCCAGUUGUCAAGCAGCCUUUUUUUACAAAAAAAAUUUAGGCGAGCUACAAAAUCUUUUUAUUUCUCUGUGUUUAGACUUCUCUCACUGUUAACCAUUUGCAAUUGCAGUAAAUCACACAGCUAAAAUAAAAAUUUCAGAGUGUUACCUUCA
rnacentral:lncRNA from 1 species